UGCCAAGGUCCCUUGCUUCACCCGCGUGCCAUGCAUUGGAGGUUAUACACGGAUCUGCUUCAGGAAUACCUGAACGAGAUUGCUUAGCAGACCCCGUCGUCCCUGAAAGCUUCGAUGGCACACGUACUUACACAGGCGUAUAUGGUCUCCGGUAAAGCAAUAGGACGUGCAACAACCCCGUGCAACAUCCACCAGCUCACGCACACACGCAAUCGUUACACGCACCACACGCGUGUCCUCGUGCAUUGAUCGGCCAGUGACGCGCAUAGGAGGAUCUACUCGCCAGGUAUAUAAAGGUAUCCACCAAAAAGCCAGAGCAUCAUUCACCUCCAGUUCAACACACGAGCUGAUCUCCAAAGAUCUACGAAACCUAUCAACCAUGAAGUGCAUCGUUCUUGUCGCUCUCUUCGGCCUCUUCGCUGUAGCCUUCGCUCAGGCACCCAAGCCUGUCCAACCCGAUCAGGAACCAUCCGUGGAAGGAGAGGCAUUGAGAGAUAAGAGAGGCCUGUUACUAGCUUCCUACACUGCACCGGCAGCAUUAGCACCAGCACCAAUUGCGUACUCUUCUUACGUCGCCCCGGCAGCCCCAAUUAGCUACGCUCUGCCAUACGCCUACCGCGCAUACCCCAGCUACACGUAUCUGGGUUAAUUUUAGGGGGUAUUAGGGAUAACACCGAGGGACCUUUGUGAUCACGACUAGGGAAAUGAUUAUACGGCAAUUGGAAGGAUUUUCGACCGAGUCGUUUAAUCGACUACUACUUUAGUUUAAGUAAAUUUAGAACGAUAGCAACCGGAUGAAAUUUCUCUAUAAAUUGUUUAUAAUUGCUCAAAUUAUUGUUCGCACUUAUUAUAUAUCGAAGAUCAACUCAACUUUUUCAACAAAUCUUAAUACACCGUUCCGUUGUAUCUCACGAUGUUAAAUACAGAAAUUGAUUAAGCUCA